rnacentral:rRNA from 1 species
CCUUUGUACACACCGCCCGUCGCUACUACCGAUUGAAUGGCUUAGUGAGGUCUCCGGAUCGGCUUUGGGGAUCCGGCAACGGAACCCCGUCGCUGAGAAGUUGAUCAAACUUGGUCAUUUAGAGG